rnacentral:piRNA from 1 species
UGCCUCUUUGCUGGGACUUUGAGGGC